rnacentral:rRNA from 1 species
AGUGAACGCUGGCGGUAGGCCUAACACAUGCAAGUCGAACGGCAGCACAGUAAGAGCUUGCUCUUACGGGUGGCGAGUGGCGGACGGGUGAGGAAUACAUCGGAAUCUACUUUUUCGUGGGGGAUAACGUAGGGAAACUUACGCUAAUACCGCAUACGACCUACGGGUGAAAGCAGGGGAUCUUCGGACCUUGCGCGAUUGAAUGAGCCGAUGUCGGAUUAGCUAGUUGGCGGGGUAAAGGCCCACCAAGGCGACGAUCCGUAGCUGGUCUGAGAGGAUGAUCAGCAACACUGGAACUGAGACACGGUCCAGACUCCUACGGGAGGCAGCAGUGGGGAAUAUUGGACAAUGGGCGCAAGCCUGAUCCAGCCAUACCGCGUGGGUGAAGAAGGCCUUCGGGUUGUAAAGCCAUUUUGUUGGGAAAGAAAAGCAGCAGGUUAACACCCCGCUGUUCUGACGGUACCCAAAGAAUAAGCACCGGCUAACUUCGUG